CACCUGGGAAACGUGGGGGCAACUUCGCUCCAGCUCAGAAGCUGGAAGUUGGCCAGGUCAUUGCGUAGGGUGGGAUGAGCGACCGGGCUGGUGUGGACAAAACGAUCAGGACCAAGGACAGCUCCCAUGGGUCUUGGCAUCAGGGUCUAAAGGCCAGGAAGGCGAGAGUCUGUACGAGCUGCCCAUUGCCCUGGUUUGUGGAGGAUCUCGCAAAUGAGGGCUUUUCGGGACCCCAAGACGAGGCCCGGCAACUCUUAGCGACCGCAGCCGCGAACAUAGGAGCCGUAAAUCAAAGCAAACAAAGCCAACCAGGGCGGGGAAGCUCUCUUGAGCAGGAAUGCAGCGUUUUACCGACAACUGUGGGCCCAGAGCCGGGUCACGGCUGUGGAUUUGAAGAACAGCUGGAUGCUCCGUGACAGGGAGAGAAAACACGGUCUUUCGCCUCUUCUGCGCAUGGGCCAGCACCUCUUUGCAAAUCCUCCACUUUCGGCAAUCGAGGCCACCUGGAGAGCAUCUUUGGAGCUCACUGCAGUUGGGGAGCACAGUGACUUCUGUAAGGAAUGGCCUGAAAUCAUCGUCUCAUCUUGUUUCCUGCCGACUGAGGAGCCAGGAGACUUCCCUGG
rnacentral:lncRNA from 1 species